rnacentral:rRNA from 1 species
GGACUACUGGGGUAUCUAAUCCCGUUCGCUCCCCUAGCUUUCGUCCCUCAGCGUCAGAAAAGCCCCAGUAAGCCGCUUUCGCCACCGGUGUUCCUGAUGAUAUCAACGCAUUUCACCGCUCCACCAUCAGUUCCGCUUACCUCUGACUCUCUCUAGCGAAGUAGUUUUAAGCGCUAUUCCUCAGUUGAGCUGAGGGAUUUCACGCCUAACUUUCUCCACCGCCUACGGACUCUGUAAGCCCAGUGAAUCCGAAUAACGUUCGGGUGGUACGUCUUACCGCGGCUGCUGGCAC